ensembl:snoRNA
UGCCUUGUGUGUGUUUAUUCCACUGAUGGGCAAAGGAAUGAAAGACAAGUGCAAAAAUAAAUCCUCUUUGCAAUCCUGAGCUCAUGUGCAGUAUGAGUUUUGAUACAUACAUGAAGGACUUUA